rnacentral:rRNA from 1 species
AGUGAACGCUGGCGGCAGGCCUAACACAUGCAAGUCGAGCGGCAGCGCGUCCGACCACCCUCGGGUGGUCGGAUGGCGGCGAGCGGCGGACGGGUGAGGAAUGCAUCGGAAUCUGCCUCGUUGUGGGGGGAUAACGUAGGGAAACUUACGCUAAUACCGCAUACGACCUACGGGUGAAAGUGGGGGACCUUCGGGCCUCACGCGAUGAGAUGAGCUGAUGCCGGAUUAGCUAGUUGGCGGGGUAAAGGCCCACCAAGGCGACGAUCCGUAGCUGGUCUGAGAGGAUGAUCAGCCACACUGGAACUGAGACACGGUCCAGACUCCUACGGGAGGCAGCAGUGGGGAAUAUUGGACAAUGGGGGCAACCCUGAUCCAGCCAUGCCGCGUGUGUGAAG